rnacentral:lncRNA from 1 species
ACUAGGUUUUCCAAAGGGAUUUAUCCAGGCUUCAUUUUGAACACACAAAGAAAACGGGACGUAUACGAAAAUGAAAGCAGCCUCUUUUUCCACAGGAAAUCAGGUCUUUUGAAAUCUGAGUGUCUUCGUUUGUGUUGGCGUUGAGUUUUGGGUGAAGGUUCAGCUAGAUUCUUGUUUUCCUUAAAAUGUUCCUAUCCAUUGAUAUACUGGCUAAUGAAGCGGAGUCAUGUGAUGCAAGUUGGCAGAUGUUUUGCUUAAGUCACUCGAGUUUGGGGAUGAGUGGAGUUCUGCCUGGAGGUGAAGAUUCGAACCAAAGCAAUAAUUGUUCUUUAGGUAAACCUCAGCGGUUAGCAACUCUCCAGUGCCCCACAAUGAUGAAUGGAGAGUUGGACCUCUCCGGUGCCAUUCCUAAGUUCGGUUUGCCUGCUUGUAAAAGAUGUGCUUUGCAAAGUGCUUUAUACAUACUGGAUUUGCACUGAGGCCAUCCCUCCCAAGCACCUGUUUUUCUGCUAUACAAAGGAAAAAAGUGUCUGGAAAAUCUGACUGAGCACUUGCUGUGGUAGACUGAGAACCCCCAUGGUUUAAACUUUGUGUGUUUUCAAUUAUCUGUUGAGGCACAAAGGACUAUGGCUAAGGCCUCCUACAUCCUGCUAAAGCUGUACUACGUCCUGGAGGGGAGUGGGGAAGAUGAAGACCCUAUUUGUCAGAGCCAACUAUGAAGAUAUUGGUAAAAUAGUUCUUCCCACGGGACUGACUGCCACCUUCUUAUACUCCAUGGAUCUAGGAGAGUCCAGGAUCAGCCACUCCGGUCUAGCGGCAUUGGAAACUGUCCCUAACCAUUUCAUGUUCCAGGAAUUCUCUGUGUUCAGGAAGAGGAUGCUAAUAAGUUAUUCUUGAGUGGCUGCAAAGUUCUAGAAACAAUGCCAGGUACUUUUUACACAAACCGUCUGCUUCACUCAUGGCUCUAGACUGCAAUGGUGGACAUGAUGAUCCCCACUUUCAGAGCUGUGGGAGGCCUAGACAGUGAUGGCUCAAACAGUGAUGAAGGUGGUCUUUGAUUUUUGGUUUCCAAGCACCCAGGUGUUUUAAAAGCCAACGCUGUCUCCUGUUGGAUUUCAGCUGUGUUGGAACUGCUCUGGUGAAGUAUGAAAAUUCCCCUGCAUCUGCCUGCGGAGAGCUCAGCCGGUGUCAUCACCGUCCUCCUGGAUCCAUCAGCACUCACUGACAAACGGGGAAACUGGAUCCAUGUUGGACACAAACUUUACUCAGUUAUGUAUUUGUCUCUCUGUAAUCCCUCUGGUAUUGACAAAUCGAACUCAGGGACUCGGGCGGCAGUGACAGCUCCUGCAGACAGCGUGUAUUAGCGUCGGCAUUAUCGUCCUUGGCCCUGACAGCCUGGGCACUAGAGGGAGGAUUAAGUGAUUAGUACUGUGUAUGUUACAACCAUCUUUUUAUUCCUUGUGACUUUUCAGUUUUGCUUACUUCAUAAAGAUGUAAAAGGAGGCUCUGAGUAAAAACAGAUGCAUUUAUACAUGUUUUCGGAUCUGAUGGCUAGCAUAUGUCUCAGACAUUCGGGCAAUGUUGAGACAUUAUCAAGUUUCUCCAUGAACACAGUAAAUUAUCUUGCCUUUGUGACAAAUAUUGUUUUAAAGGGGGCUUCGAGGUAUAUUGUAUAUAUUUAGAAAAUAAAGAUCCAUUUGAAUCUCUAUCUUAUAUUUGA